UCGCCCACAAUGCCUUUCAACGGUUUCAACACGGAUGCGGUCUCGUGUGCCAAGUGUGAGCGGACGCAAAGCACUGCGAGCCCGUCGGUUAUAUGCCGAAGCCCUUCCGGGGGGCAUCCUUGUUGGAGUCGUUUCCGGUCUUCGGACCGGACGCGUUCCAUCUUUGGUCUCCUCGCGCUAACCCCGUAGCGUGUGGUUUUUAGCGGGCUAAUAAGCCCGCUUUUUUUCG
rnacentral:ncRNA from 15 species